rnacentral:rRNA from 1 species
GACGAACGCUGGCGGCGUGCUUAACACAUGCAAGUCGAACGGAAAGGCCCUGCUUUUGUGGGGUGCUCGAGUGGCGAACGGGUGAGUAACACGUGAGUAACCUGCCAUUGACUUUGGGAUAACUUCAGGAAACUGGGGCUAAUACCGGAUAGGAGCUCCUGCUGCAUGGUGGGGUUGGAAAGUUUCGGCGGUUGGGGAUGGACUCGCGGCUUAUCAGCUUGUUGGUGGGGUAGUGGCUUACCAAGGCUUUGACGGGUAGCCGGCCUGAGAGGGUGACCGGCCACAUUGGGACUGAGAUACGGCCCAGACUCCUACGGGAGGCAGCAGUGGGGAAUAUUGCACAAUGGGCGGAAGCCUGAUGCAGCAACGCCGCGUGCGGGAUGACGGCCUUCGGGUUGUAAACCGCUUUCGCCUGUGACGAAGCGUGAGUGACGGUAAUGGGUAAAGAAGCACCGGCUAACUACGUG